AUAGUGGGCCGGUUCCACCCUCUAGGACCAUUAAGCCCUGAACCAUUUGGCCCGAGACCGCUUGAGCCCGGGACCAUUUGGUCCAACCCGUUUAGCCCAUUUAGGCCUGGGAUCGGACCAUAAUAAAGCCUUAAUCGGCCCACUUAGUCCGGGGCCUUUAGUUCAUGGUCCUGGUCCUAGGCUGGUUCCGACAAAAAACUCGUGAAGCCCGGGACUACUUAGGUCUGUUUAGGACCGGGACCAGCCGACUUGCCAGCCCUAUCCUGUAUUCAUAAAACUUCAGGACUAAGCUUGAAGGAGUUUGGUUUAACUGCAACUGCACCAGGUACCCUUGUACUAGCAGAAUUGCCAGCCACAAAGGAGGGCUUAGAUAUGACUUCAGUUCUCUUGUGAGCAAUUUCUACUGCCUUCUCCUACAGUCUAGCUUGUUCUACAGCAAACCGCAGAGUUGUAGGUUUAAACAACUUCACCCCAAACAUAAUCUCUUCCUUUAGAGCUCCAAUGAAACUGGAGAUGAAGUGUGAUUCAUCCAAGUGAGGAUUUCUUAUCAACAUUUGAGCCUUCAAGUCUUCAAACUUGCCUAGGAAUCAUCAACUGGACCUACUUGACUCAACUUGUUAAAUUCCUCCAUUAUGUCUCCCAUUAGUUCCUCCCCAAAUCAGAUAAGCAACUCGCUAACUUACUUCACUCUACUUAGCUCUAAUGAGUCAUACCAAGUAUCCACUCAUCCAUUCAGAUAGAAUGCAAUAACUUCUAUUUUCAGAUUGCUUGGGGUCCUACACAGAUUAAAGUACCUUUCACACUUUCAAAUUCACACCUUAGGUUCAUGACCUUCAAAGUAAGGCAGUUCCCACUUAGGAGAAGGGGCAUGCACAGCCUGAGGCAUGUGUUGUCUCAAUUCCAGACCUGCUAUGGGCUAGAGUCCAUCUUCUUGAGGUCUGUCACCUUCAGCUCGUUGGGGAACUCUUUCCAAAUUUGUCAACCUCUCUAAUAUUAGCUCUAAGGUACCAUGUAUCCAAGUUUGAGUGUUGCGUAAUUCCUCUUGAGUGGUCAGGACUUCAUUCAAAAUCUCAUAAUGUCUUACCAGUUUAGCAUCCAUAACUUUCAGCCUCGUCUCUUCAACUAUUACCACCUUCACAGUCGCAGAAUCGAGGAUCUGAUACCAAUUGCAGUGAUCCCGAUAAGAACUAAAAUGAUUAGACAACCAAUUUGCAAAUUGAGAGAAUUUUUGAAACAAUUUUCUAUUUAUAUUAAUGAAAAAAAGAAGUUGAACUACAAAACAAUUGAAAAUAAUAAUCUUCUAAAUUAGAACCCCAUAGCUGAUGAGACUUGCAAAAUGAAGGAGGAAGAAAAAGUUAGAAGGGAAUCAUGUACGUGUGUGUGCGUGUGCGUGUGCGUGUGAGAGAGAGAGAGACGAGAGAGUGUGUAGAAAAGAGAAGAGAGAAAUGAUCUGAUGAUUGUUGCUUUCUCUUU
rnacentral:lncRNA from 1 species